UCAAGUGAAUAAGUGCAUCAGGCGGAUGCCUUGGCGAUGAUAGGCGACGAAGGACGUGUAAGCCUGCGAAAAGCGCGGGGGAGCUGGCAAUAAAGCUAUGAUUCCGCGAUGUCCGAAUGGGGAAACCCACUGCAUUCUGUGCAGUAUCCUAAGUUGAAUACAUAGGCUUAGAGAAGCGAACCCGGAGAACUGAACCAUCUAAGUACCCGGAGGAAAAGAAAUCAACCGAGAUUCCGCAAGUAGUGGCGAGCGAACGCGGAGGAGCCUGUACGUAAUAACUGUCGAGAUAGAAGAACAAGCUGGGAAGCUUGACCAUAGCGGGUGACAGUCCCGUAUUCGAAAUCUCAACAGCGGUACUAAGCGUACGAAAAGUAGGGCGGGACACGUGAAAUCCUGUCUGAAUAUGGGGGGACCAUCCUCCAAGGCUAAAUACUCAUCAUCGACCGAUAGUGAACCAGUACCGUGAGGGAAAGGCGAAAAGAACCCCGGGAGGGGAGUGAAACAGAACCUGAAACCUGAUGCAUACAAACAGUGGGAGCGCCCUAGUGGUGUGACUGCGUACCUUUUGUAUAAUGGGUCAACGACUUACAUUCAGUAGCGAGCUUAACCGGAUAGGGGAGGCGUAGGGAAACCGAGUCUUAAUAGGGCGAUGAGUUGCUGGGUGUAGACCCGAAACCGAGUGAUCUAUCCAUGGCCAGGUUGAAGGUGCCGUAACAGGUACUGGAGGACCGAACCCACGCAUGUUGCAAAAUGCGGGGAUGAGCUGUGGGUAGGGGUGAAAGGCUAAACAAACUCGGAGAUAGCUGGUUCUCCCCGAAAACUAUUUAGGUAGUGCCUCGAGCAAGACACUGAUGGGGGUAAAGCACUGUUAUGGCUAGGGGGUUAUUGCAACUUACCAACCCAUGGCAAACUCAGAAUACCAUCAAGUGGUUCCUCGGGAGACAGACAGCGGGUGCUAACGUCCGUUGUCAAGAGGGAAACAACCCAGACCGCCGGCUAAGGUCUCAAAUGAUAGAUUAAGUGGUAAACGAAGUGGGAAGGCACAGACAGCCAGGAUGUUGGCUUAGAAGCAGCCAUCAUUUAAAGAAAGCGUAAUAGCUCACUGGUCGAGUCGUCCUGCGCGGAAGAUGUAACGGGGCUCAAAUCUAUAACCGAAGCUGCGGAUGCCGGUUUACCGGCAUGGUAGGGGAGCGUUCUGUAGGCUGAUGAAGGUGCAUUGUAAAGUGUGCUGGAGGUAUCAGAAGUGCGAAUGUUGACAUGAGUAGCGAUAAAGCGGGUGAAAAGCCCGCUCGCCGAAAGCCCAAGGUUUCCUACGCAACGUUCAUCGGCGUAGGGUAAGUCGGCCCCUAAGGCGAGGCAGAAAUGCGUAGUCGAUGGGAAACAGGUUAAUAUUCCUGUACUUGAUUCAAAUGCGAUGUGGGGACGGAGAAGGUUAGGUUGGCAAGCUGUUGGAAUAGCUUGUUUAAGCCGGUAGGUGGAAGACUUAGGCAAAUCCGGGUUUUCUUAACACCGAGAAGUGAUGACGAGUGUCUACGGACACGAAGCAACCGAUACCACGCUUCCAGGAAAAGCCACUAAGCUUCAGUUUGAAUCGAACCGUACCGCAAACCGACACAGGUGGGCAGGAUGAGAAUUCUAAGGCGCUUGAGAGAACUCGGGAGAAGGAACUCGGCAAAUUGAUACCGUAACUUCGGGAGAAGGUAUGCCCUCUAAGGUUAAGGACUUGCUCCGUAAGCCCCGGAGGGUCGCAGAGAAUAGGUGGCUGCGACUGUUUAUUAAAAACACAGCACUCUGCCAACACGAAAGUGGACGUAUAGGGUGUGACGCCUGCCCGGUGCCGGAAGGUUAAUUGAAGAUGUGCAAGCAUCGGAUCGAAGCCCCGGUAAACGGCGGCCGUAACUAUAACGGUCCUAAGGUAGCGAAAUUCCUUGUCGGGUAAGUUCCGACCCGCACGAAUGGCGUAACGAUGGCCACACUGUCUCCUCCCGAGACUCAGCGAAGUUGAAGUGGUUGUGAAGAUGCAAUCUACCCGCUGCUAGACGGAAAGACCCCGUGAACCUUUACUGUAGCUUUGCAUUGGACUUUGAAGUCACUUGUGUAGGAUAGGUGGGAGGCUUGGAAGCAGAGACGCCAGUCUCUGUGGAGUCGUCCUUGAAAUACCACCCUGGUGUCUUUGAGGUUCUAACCCAGACCCGUCAUCCGGGUCGGGGACCGUGCAUGGUAGGCAGUUUGACUGGGGCGGUCUCCUCCCAAAGCGUAACGGAGGAGUUCGAAGGUUACCUAGGUCCGGUCGGAAAUCGGACUGAUAGUGCAAUGGCAAAAGGUAGCUUAACUGCGAGACCGACAAGUCGGGCAGGUGCGAAAGCAGGACAUAGUGAUCCGGUGGUUCUGUAUGGAAGGGCCAUCGCUCAACGGAUAAAAGGUACUCCGGGGAUAACAGGCUGAUUCCGCCCAAGAGUUCAUAUCGACGGCGGAGUUUGGCACCUCGAUGUCGGCUCAUCACAUCCUGGGGCUGUAGUCGGUCCCAAGGGUAUGGCUGUUCGCCAUUUAAAGUGGUACGUGAGCUGGGUUUAAAACGUCGUGAGACAGUUUGGUCCCUAUCUGCAGUGGGCGUUGGAAGUUUGACGGGGGCUGCUCCUAGUACGAGAGGACCGGAGUGGACGAACCUCUGGUGUACCGGUUGUAACGCCAGUUGCAUAGCCGGGUAGCUAAGUUCGGAAGAGAUAAGCGCUGAAAGCAUCUAAGCGCGAAACUCGCCUGAAGAUGAGACUUCCCUUGCGGUUUAACCGCACUAAAGGGUCGUUCGAGACCAGGACGUUGAUAGGUGGGGUGUGGAAGCGCGGUAACGCGUGAAGCUAACCCAUACUAAUUGCCCGUGAGGCUUGACUCU
rnacentral:rRNA from 1 species